rnacentral:rRNA from 1 species
GAGGGUUGAUAGGUUAAGAGCUGAUUGAAUGGACGUUACCCACAGAAGAAGCACCGGCUAACUCCGUGCCAGCAGCCGCGGUAAUACGGAGGGUGCGAGCGUUAAUCGGAAUUACUGGGCGUAAAGCGUGCGUAGGUGGUUUAAUAAGUUAUCUGUGAAAUCCCUGGGCUCAACCUGGGCAGGUCAGAUAAUACUGUUGGACUCGAGUAUGGGAGAGGGUAGUGGAAUUUCCGGUGUAGCGGUGAAAUGCGUAGAGAUCGGAAGGAACACCAGUGGCGAAGGCGGCUACCUGGCCUAAUACUGACACUGAGGCACGAAAGCGUGGGGAGCAAACAGGAUUAGAUACCCUGGUAGUCCACGCUGUAAACGAUGUCAACUAGCUGUUGGGUGUAUGAAUACAUUUAGUGGCGCAGCAAACGCGAUAAGUUGACCA